UCCUGGCUCAGGAUGAACGCUAGCUACAGGCUUAACACAUGCAAGUCGAGGGGCAGCAUUGGGAUAGCUUGCUAUUCAGAUGGCGACCGGCGCACGGGUGAGUAACGCGUAUCCAACCUUCCUGCCAGUAGGGAACAGCCCGGCGAAAGUCGGAUUAAUGCCCUAUGUUCUUCAAUGCGGACAUCUAAGUUGAAGGAAAGAUUCAUCGCUGGCAGAUGGGGAUGCGUCCGAUUAGCUUGCCGGCGGGGUAACGGCCCACCGGGGCGACGAUCGGUAGGGGUUCUGAGAGGAAGGUCCCCCACACUGGUACUGAGACACGGACCAGACUCCUACGGGAGGCAGCAGUGAGGAAUAUUGGUCAAUGGGCGUAAGCCUGAACCAGCCAAGUAGCGUGCAGGAAUGACGGCCCUACGGGUUGUAAACUGCUUUUAUGCGGGGAUAAAGUGCGGCACGUGUGCCGCUUUGCAGGUACCGCAUGAAUAAGGACCGGCUAAUUCCGUGCCAGCAGCCGC
rnacentral:rRNA from 1 species